CGUGCUGUUAGUUUUGAGAAUGAGCAGUAUGUUCGACUUAUUGACUUUUAUUGAAUUUUUUUCCCAACUUUUAUGAAGUUCCAAUUAAAGUAAUUCAGUAUGGUAGUUUGAUGAACUAGAAAGAAAGUAAAAUCCUCCAUCCUAAAUAUAAUCACCAUUGCCUACCAGAAGAAAUUCAAUUUUUAACAAAAACUUAUGUACAAAUAUAUCUGAUGCUAAUUUAUACAUCAAUUAUUCUUUCAUUCUUAUUGUGUUACAGAACUAAUGUGUUCAUUGUUAAAAACUGAUGAAAUUCCUUCCACAAGUUGUAAAAAAAGAACUGGAAUAUCAAACCAGUGAGCUAUCAUGAGAUUCAGGAUUAAGUCUUUAUUGUACAAAAAGCUGUUAUUCGUAACUCAUGUGUAUUAUAAAAAUGCACGAGUAUACCAUUGUACCAGGACCUAUAUUAACGAAUUGAACAAUACUUGCAUAUGCUGAGGAACUUCUGAUGUGUAGAGGUAAAUUCGGGCCACACUACUCGCUCGUAUCUUCCUCGGGUGAUGUCAAUUAUAAGAUCUUCCAGCUGAGUACCAAUAUUU